rnacentral:tRNA from 1 species
CUCGAUGUAGUUUAAGUGUGAAUAUAAGCUUGUCUGGCUUAGGGUUUAGUCGGGU